UACAGAGGGUGCGAGCGUUAAUCGGAAUUACUGGGCGUAAAGGGCGCGUAGGUGGUGAAUUAAGUUAUAUGUGAAACCCCUGAGCUUAACUUAGGACUGGCAUAUAAAACUAAUUUUCUAGAGUGUGAGAGAGGGAGGUGGAAUUUCCGGUGUAGCGGUGAAAUGCGUAGAUAUCGGAAGGAACAUCGGUGGCGAAGGCGGCCUCCUGGCUCACUACUGACACUGAGGCGCGAAAGCGUGGGGAGCAAACAGG
rnacentral:rRNA from 1 species